rnacentral:lncRNA from 1 species
GACGGUCGAAAAGUUCUAAUAUUUCACAGGUGUGAUCACGGUGCACCGUCUAAUAAGUUCCAGAAGGGUAUCGAGACAUCCCAGAAUUCAACUGUCAUGCAGAUGAAAUGUUAAUGUGUUUUUUUUCCAGAGUAAAUACAUCAACCACAUAUAUACUAAAGGGCCUUCAGCUGUGGAGCAGAACUGUAAAACUCAUUUCCGGCACUUACUUAUAAUGUGACAAAUUGUGAGGCCCUGCUGCAGUAAUAAGAGGGGAAAACUUUGAAGACGCCGAAGCAUUUGACUCGUCCCACAACGAAGAUUAAUCCACUUCCUUUUGUGUGUGUGUGUGUGUGUGUGUGUGUGUGUGUGUGUGUGUGUGUGUGUGUGUGCGCGCGCACAUGCUUGUAUGUCAUUUUAUCUUUUAAUUAUAGGGUCUCCCAGGACACUCUGAAGGAGCAGCGAUUAAGGGCGACAAAGGAGACACCGGCUCCUCGGGAGAAACCGGAGAAAAAGGCGACAGAGGAGAUCCAGUAUGUAUUCUUAAAUAAAUGCCAUCGUAUCUUCUGGAAAAAAAAAAAAAA